AACCUGUCGUUUAGCAGCUGUACCUUUUCUUAAGCUAAAUCUCUGUUCUGUCACAUUGUUUAUUUCUGUUUACCAAGUUUUCUGCAGUUGUCAUCGGUGCAGCUGUGAAGUUUGUUCCUAUAAGUUUACUUAGUACCGCAGGCGGAAGCUCCAGCAGGCCUCAGCCACGUGUUGGCGUUAGCAUGUGGCCGGUUAUACCAGCCUCACCACACCUCUAUGUAGACCUAAGUUGUCGCCGUACCAUGGAUGAAUGAUGUUACUUUGUGUUGUUAGGGACAUCUGAGUAAAUGUGAUGAGAUACGACACUCUGACUCCAUGGUUCAGGCUGCAGGCCUGUGGUGUUCGCUGAUAGCAGGCGUUUAUAAAUGAUACACAAAAUCCUUUCAGAUAAGUAACAUUUAUUAAAAUGCUGUUUUCCUGUUUGCAGGACGCUGUAUGGGAUGCGUUGAGAUGGAAAGGCAGGCCGCAUGGGUAAUCAUGGAUCAUCUGACCUCUGUAAAUCCACACCUUAUGCGUGGGUUUUGGAGUAAUCCAGACACAUGAAGAUGGGAUGGAGGUACACUGACCACACCAACAGCUGACAUGCAGGUGCUUCCUGUCCUCAUGCCUUCUGCUCCUUUUCUUGGAUCAGCUGUGGGGACCCCCAUCUGUUGCAGUUGGUGAAGAAAAGAAAUAGCUUCAUGCAACUCCCCACAGCUUUGCAGAGCCUCCAUCAGGUGCGGCAACUCAUACUGCAGAGGAAGUUGCACUGAAAGGGAAACUCUGCUUCUGGGCUGCAACUCAAAAGGGAAACUUGGAACUUUUGGAGAUCAUCUCAAGAAUUGGUGCUGAUGAAGAUGGGAGAAAACGUCAAGCACAACUACCUGAACUGAUGCUGUGAUCUGGAUGAUCUGAGCUGAAAGUUUAAAUUUGUGAUCUAAUAAAGGUGUAAAAUAAAAGACUGUUGUGGA